UCGAUGACGCGGAGAACUUACCUACUCUUGACUCCACAGAACUUGGCAGAGAUGCUUUGGUGCCUUCGGGAACUCUGAGACAGGUGCUGCAUGGCUGUCGUCAGCUCGUGUUGUGAAAUGUUGGGUUAAGUCCCGCAACGAGCGCAACCCUUAUCCUUUGUUGCCAGCGGUUCGGCCGGGAACUCAAAGGAGACUGCCAGUGAUAAACUGGAGGAAGGUGGGGAUGACGUCAAGUCAUCAUGGCCCUUACGAGUAGGGCUACACACGUGCUACAAUGGCAUAUACAAAGAGAAGCGACCUCGCGAGAGCAAGCGGACCUCAUAAAGUAUGUCGUAGUCCGGAUUGGAGUCUGCAACUCGACUCCAUGAAGUCGGAAUCGCUAGUAAUCGUGGAUCAGAAUGCCACGGUGAAUCGUUCUCCCGGGC
rnacentral:rRNA from 2 species